rnacentral:misc_RNA from 1 species
CUUUCAAUUGGCUGUGUAUUUAGCAGGUAAUGGUAUUGAUUCCUAGUGAUUCAAUGGGAUCCAUGUGUAUGCACAUCUUGCUCUUCAGGCUACAAAAGAAGAAGGGUUGAUGCAGCAUAAACCAUUGUUGUCUGUGAAUUGAAUUCUUUUCAUGUUUGGUUGGUGAAAAAUUGUGUAAUUCUCUUUUAUUUGCUGAGGCAUGCACCCAAGUCUUGCGAUGAAUUGGUUCUGAUAUGACCCACUGCUGAAUGAUGCCCUGCAGUUGAUCUCAAGC